rnacentral:lncRNA from 1 species
AAGUCUUUCCUGGUUUUCAUCCCCUACCCCUUCAACUCAGUUCCCAGUGGUAGCAGAAAGACAUCAUGUGACCAUGUUGGCAAGUGUGACCUACUAUGUUUCUGAGAUCCCAGCUUCUAUUAACCAGGAGCUCUCACUCCUGCUCCAUGAGCUGUUGUGCAAGAACCCUCUCUACCUGCUACGUUAUCUGCAUCACUUCCAGAUCCACCCUUUCUUUCGGGGUGUGGCCUUUGACCCUGAGCUCCUACAGAAGCAGCCAGUGAACUUUGUCAUGGAGAUGCGAGAUACUAGGCCCAGUCCAUUGGAGUCAGUGCCCUUCAAGGAUUUUGACUGUGAUCUGGAGUCCUUCCUGGUCCACUCCAUCUCUGCUUCACCCUCUCUUCUGUAUUAGGAUCCAGCUGGAAACCUGAGGAUCUCCACUGCCAACUCUACGACCAACUUGAAGAUCCAAUUUUUACUUUGUUGUCCUUUACUAUUCUGUUGUAGGUGUUGGAUCAGAGUCGAAACCUUUGACAUUCUGAAACUGAUAGCCAAAACUGGAACUACUGCUUUCCCAUAGUACAAUCCACCUCUCAGUUCAACAUCUCAGUUCAAGUUGGUGGACUUUCUCUUUGCCUCAUUUCUCCAGUACUCUUUCCCUUAAGCUGCCAACUAAAGGAUACUUAUACUCCCCCACUCCCAUUUUUCUACCAUGUUUCCUUUCUUUUGAAGUAGUGUCACUUCAUGGGCUCCCAAGGUGCUAUUUAUGUUUAUAGUCAAAAGCAAUAAGUAGUCAAAAGCAAUAUAAAUGCUUUUCAAAGGUCUCAAAGAGCUGGCAUUUCAACACAUGAAUAAAUAUGCAAUUUUAGAAUAUGAUUUAUGCUGGGUGCGGUAUUGCAUAUCUUUAAUCCCAGUACUCGGGAGGCAGAGGCAGGCAGAUCUCUGUGAGUUCAAGGCUAGCCUGGUCUACAUAGUGAGUUCCAGGACAUAGUGAGUUCCUGGUCAGCUGGGGCUACAGGGAGACCCUGUCUCAAAAAGACC